AAUCAACGCUGGCGGCGUGCCUCAGACAUGCAAGUCGAACGAGAAAGUCCCCUUCGGGGGAUAAGUAAAGUGGCGCACGGGUGAGUAACACGUAGGUAAUCUACCUUCGGGUGGGGAAUAACCCAGGGAAACUUGGGCUAACACCGCAUAAUGCAGCGGCACCACAUGGUGACAGUUGUUAAAGCGGGGGGAUUUUCGGACCUCGCGCCUGAAGAGGAGCCUGCGGCGGAUUAGCUAGUUGGUAAGGACGGCUUACCAAGGCAACGAUCCGUAGCCGGCCUGAGAGGGCGGUCGGCCACACUGACACUGACAUACGGGUCAGACUCCUACGGGAGGCAGCAGUCGGGAAUUUUGGGCAAUGGGCGAAAGCCUGACCCAGCAACGCCGCGUGAAGGAUGAAAUCCCUCGGGAUGUAAACUUCGCAAGAAUGGGAAGAAUUAGCGAGCGCUAAUACCGCUCGUGAUGACGGUACCAUUUGUAAGCUCCGGCUAACUCCGUGCCAGCAGCCGCAGU
rnacentral:rRNA from 1 species